rnacentral:rRNA from 1 species
AUACGGAGGGUGCAAGCGUUAAUCGGAAUUACUGGGCGUAAAGCGCUCGUAGGCGGUUUGUUAAGUCGGAUGUGAAAGCCCCGGGCUCAACCUGGGAACUGCAUUCGAUACUGGCAGACUAGAGUAUAGUAGAGGCAAGUGGAAUUCCGGGUGUAGCGGUGAAAUGCGUAGAUAUCCGGAGGAACAUCAGUGGCGAAGGCGACUUGCUGGACUAAUACUGACGCUGAGGAGCGAAAGCGUGGGGAGCAAACGGGAUUAGAUACCCCUGUAGUCC